AGGCUGGGAAGUCCAAAAUCCAGGGGCCAUUAGGUUCAUUGUCAGCUGGGAAAACGGCAAUGGAUUAAUAACAAGAAAUUAAUGGUGAAGUGGUGACGAAAAUUCUACAUUGCUUAGAAAGCAAAUAGUGAAAUGAACAUUUACAUUCUGGCAACCUCAGAAGUACAACGAACAGAGGACACCAGCCAGGUAGGGCAAAGGCCUGUGCGCCCCCUUUUGCUGUUACAUGUUUAUCAGAUGCGUGCUCUGUUUCUGUUGUAUUACAUUACUUUUCUCUUCAAUGUCUACUGAGGAAGAACAAGUAGCUCCUCAGGCAAGUCAACUGUUAACUCUGCAGUUUUUAUUUAAUCUCCCAGGAAUGUAACCCUUAACUUUAAAGAAUGUAGUGACCAUAAAACUUAUAAGGCAUGUUUCUUAAGGAAAUUGUACCUGUUUAUUUAAUCUAUCAGAUAUGAAUGUUAUAGAAAAUUAAAUUUGUCCACUUAAGCUGUAGAUGAACUUUUCACCUUUCUGAUCAGAAAUUCACCAUUUUAUAGUAUAGGUUCUGUUAUUAAUCAGAAUAUUUCAUUUAGACUCUUUCUAUCCAACUUUUUCUUAGAGGCUAUUCAAAAUAAAGGUGCUUCUAACAGUUUCAUAUCGAAAUACGAUGCAAAGCCUUGCUCUUCCAUGGUAUCCUUUGAGUGAGCCAAACUUAUUUAGCCAUUCCCCUAUAGUUAAAUAGCUAGGAUGUUUCCAACAUCUCACCUUUAAAACAAUAGUGCUAUGAAUGUCAUAAAUGUUUGUAUAUGUAAAUAUGUAGGAUAAAUCCCUAUCAGUAGAAUUUCAAAAGGUAUACGCAAUCAGUAUUUUCAUACAUAUUUAAAAUUUUCCAUCCAUACAAAGGUUGCUAACAUAUUUAUUUAAAAUUUUAAAAAUAAUUUUAUAUGCCUCUUGUAACCAGUAAUAGGAUGCAAAGUUUUUGUUUUAAGGUAACAUUGCUCCUCUUCCCCCAUUGUCUCUGUCAUCUAUAGUACUCCCUAAGGUAGUUCAUGUUAUUGCAAGGGUGUGUAUCAUCCCAAACAUAUUGCUUCCACAUACAUAUAUCAGCAUACAUAUAUAUAUAUGUAUAGCAUAUAUAUAUAUGAGCACAUAUUAAUAUAUGCCCAUGCACAUACAAGCAUGUUUUUGUUAAUUUUUACUGAAAUGGAAUCAUGCUACAUACUUAUGAACAAAUUGCUUCUUUCACCUUAUAUCACUUAUAAUUGUUAUUCUACAAAUCAGUACAUAUAAAAAAUACAUAUUUACAUAUGUAAUACUCUAUCUGUUAUAAUUUUCUGCAUGCACAUGUAUGCAUAUACAUAUAUUCAUAAACAUAAAAAUCUAAACGGGAUUUUUUUGGG
rnacentral:lncRNA from 1 species